rnacentral:rRNA from 1 species
GUCUGUACGAGUCUGUAUAUGUUCAGUCUGGCCUGCCCACUGAAUUUUGUUUAAAGGGCUGCGGUAAUUUGACCGUGCAAAGGUAGCAUAAUCAAUAGUCUUUUAAUUGAAGGCUGGGAUGAAAGGUUGGACGGAAAGAAAGCUGUCUACACUAGCUAAUAUUGAAUUUAACUUUUGUGUGAAAAGGCAUAAAUAAGUUGAUGGGACGAUAAGACCCUAUAAAACUUAAUAUAUUUUAUUAUUCUUUAGAAAAAAUAAUUAAUUAUAGGAUGAUAGUAAGGUAUUUUGCUGGGGCGGCAAAGAUAUAAUUUUGUAACUGUUUUAAAAAUUAAAUAUGGAUAUAUAGACUAUGGUCCUUUAUUGAGGAGUAGAGAGCAAGUUACUUUAGGGAUAACAGCAUGAUUUUUUCAGAGAGUUCCUAUCGAAGAAAAAAGUUGUGACCUCGAUGUUGAAUUAAAAUCUUCUCCAGGAGCAGGAACUUGGAAGGAAGGACUGUUCGUCCUAUAGAGUUUUACA